ensembl:lncRNA
GGGACUCAAACCCAGCUGAAACCCUGCUUGGGACUUGAACCCAUUUGGCUGGGUCUCAAACUCAGCCAAAACCCAUGGUACCUGGUCUCAGGAUCUAAGGAAGCUCAAGUUCUUGCUGUCUCAUCACAGAAAGAAUUCAGUGAGAGACAAAGUGAUAGUGAUUUGCAACGUAAAUAAAGCAAUCAGAGUGAUGAAAAUAGAAAGCUUCCAGCAAAAUCAACUUCUGAGAACUGCUGCCAAAGGGAGAAUAACAAGCAUUUUCAAGCUAAAAUUUGGGCUGAAAAUGAGCUGUGAAUAAGCUGCAAAUGAUCACCUCUCUCUGAAACCCAGUGGUUAAUUAUGCUGUUUCACAGCAAGACCAGGUUGCAAAUAUACACUGACUUCCUUCAGUAGAAGUUGUGAAAUUGCUGGAAAAUGGCUGAGGAUCUUUGACCUGUCUCUUCAAAGGACCAGUUCCCAAGUCUCUCCUUUCAACACUCCCUGCUCGCUGCUAUUUAAGCUACCACCUGGAAGCAUAUUCAGCAUGUGGGACCAGCCCUAAAACUUGCUGGAGUUCUUGUUUCUUCCUUGGUCUGUACAAGGCCACCAUUCAGUAACCUUGAGAACCAUUAAACCCAUCACAAGACCACCUGAUGCCAGAUGAUUGAAGGAAUGAAGGCCCUGCAUGCACCCUGAUCCUUAUCAGCACCUCUGCCUCUUGACUACAAGACUCCUCACAAUCCACUUAUUCCACCCCCGGUUGGGACAUACAGUUUUGAGGGCAUUAGCCUGCUGCAGCCCCCUUUGCCUGGCAAAGCAAUAAAACUAUUCGUUUCUAUGUCAUCCAAAA